AAUGACUACACUUUUCUCUUCUUACGGAGAGAUUAGUCCAAUCUUUUUUUCAGAUCGCUCAGUUCUAUUGCAUAUUGAGGGAAAAGACGCUGCAGAGAAGGUGCCUGAACUUAAUGGCAUCGUCAUCGGGGGACGCAAAUUAGUUGUUCGUCUUCUUUCUGGACUAGACAAAUCCACCCGCCACCCACGCCGCUUACGUGGCGGCCCCAUUUGUGGCUAAUACUUCCAUAAAAUUUGAUUCUUGAUUCUUUGGUAACAAAGUUUAAAAACUUUCGGGUUAUUUUAGAUAAAUAAGUUUAAGACGUCUGAUGAGUUGAAAGACUCUCUCUCUCAGGAGUAAAAGACAAAGCUCUCUUUGGUGUGUGUUUACUACUUUACUGUCUGGAUGUGAUAGAGCCUCUCUCUUUUAUUUGUUAUUAUGCUUCCCUUGUGGAUCUUAAAAUAAAGGAAAUUCCAUA